AUUAGGAACAUGUCCACACAUGCCACUGUGGUACUGAAAGGUCUAGGUUUUUCUGCACUCCAUAUAUCAAUUCUGAUGUUGUGCUCAGUAGCAUUGUUGCUUACUUUGGGAUGUUGUGGCCAUAUUUUUAAUAUGCUGAAUAACAAAGGUACUAGCAAAACAGUCAUAAGAAUGCAUUUAGUUUUGGUCAUCUGUUCGAACAUCUGUAUGUUUUUUGCUUUCUGCCUUUGGUCAACAGAAGGGAUUGUCCCAGAGGUUGUCACUUGUUCAGUUGUCAGUAUCAUAAGGCCGGUCAUGCUCAUGAAAACUUCUCCUUAUCUGAACAGAUUUCCAGAGUGCAUACAAAAUGCAGUGAAGGCUUUGGCUCUUCCACUUUACAAUUCAAUUAAAACAAUUAGUGCAUGUUCAUUUUUUUUUGCUAACAUUGGCCAGAUUCCCCUGACAGCAGGAUGCAUUGUAAUUAUACUGACACUAAUUGCAUUGGUGAGUUUCAUCAAUGCUGCUCUAUUAGCUUUUAACGGUGUCUGGAUUCGCUUGAUUGUGUCUCUCGACUUACUUAAUACAGCGCUGUUUGGACUCCUGCUCAGUAGCACGAAAGACUACUUUGAAUAUAUCUUGAAAUACCUUCAGUGGUGCCCCCUCUGAUAAUGGGCAUGAUGAUGGUUUUUACUCUACAAAAGUACUUCUUUCAAGGAAAGCCCUUUGAUUGUUUUUAUGUCACGCUGUCGUCGGUUAUCGUUGCUAUAUUGAGCCUUAGUGAAAUUUGCAUUUAUGUGAUAUUCUUUAUCAUGUCUGAGGAUUUGUCCAGAGGAUGGACACUUAUAAUUGAGGCUGUAGGAUUUAUAUGUGCAUGGUUAGUAGUGCUAUAUCUCGCAUGUUGUUACCGAGGCCAUAGACGUGGAUGUUGCACACACUGGAGAAAAAUUGGAUACAUAUGCUGUCUUGUCACUGCAGCAUUUCUUGUCAUUGCAUAUGGCACUUAUAUGUGUGUGCGCUAUAAAAACAUCUUCAGAGAAGAAAAAGAUUUGCUUCACAUUAUGGUCUACAUGUUUGGAGCUGUUGGUCUCAGUUCUGUAAAUGCAAUUGCUCUUGCCUCAGAACUGAUCCUGAAAGCAGGUAUUUGAUAAUCUCCCAUGGUUUCUAGUAAAAUACAAACUGUUAACGUGUUAUGACAAUUGUGGUACAAAUACUAAAUAUUAGAAAAAUUGUUUGGUAUAUUUUUGCUAAAAAAGUACAAAUAUAUGAAUUUACCCAAGUUAAAUGGCCCAAAGUCUAGCAGGGAAGGUGGGGUUUAAUAGUGACAGAUAGAGUGUGCUUCAAGAGUAACAUUGUGGUGUGGUGAAAUUUAUAAGACUAGAUAACAUAAACAUAAGCCUUUCAUGAUAACUGACAAAUAUAAAUUCAUUAAAAUUUAUGAGGGAAUAUUCCUGCAGGACAUAAAGGUUUAUUUUAUUGUGAUAUAGACUUUUGUCAAUUUCAGGAGAUAGAUUUUGAUGACAUAAUACUUCUCAAUUACCUUUAACUUUCAUGUAUGUAGAGAGUGGAGACAUAAUUGCAGUUAAUGUUUAAAGGAACUUAUCAAAUCAUUUAACAUGCUAGGCUCGUUCAUAGUCAGGCACUUCAUUGAACAGGGCAAAACAAAAGACUUUACAUGUACAUUAAGAGACUAGAUGCAAGCUGUUAUGCAUGCUGAGCACUUUUGCACAUAAAACUCAGUACAAGGCAGAAAUUCCUCAUAGAGGAAUUUGCCUCCCAAGGGGGCUUCUCAAGAGCACGUUCAAACACUUCCACUGGCAAUUCAUUCCCUCUGCUUAAAAUGUCCAGACCACACCAAAGAUCCUGCAAUAGGCAUUUUUGGCCUCUGGUUAAUGCUGGAUUUGGGAGGCUGUGCCAUUAAUUUAUGUCAUUAGUCUCUGCUGGAGUUUACCACAGAAGGUUUCCUCAACAGCCUCUGGAGGGAGCUUUGCAGGGAAAUCUGCCCUGUCGGUCUUUAGUUGGAGCUCUUCUGGAGAGGCCUCUCCAGCCUUUUUCUCCUAGUACCUGGUAAAAUCACUCUUAAUCUCAGGACCAGGGCUCAAAACAGGGUCAUCAUGGUGGGAGACUAAGUGUGAAGGAGACUUAGCGAAAAGCCACAGGUAAGGUGAUGAAAUUAAGUGCAGAGAAAGAGAGAGCCAGGCACGGCAGUGUUGAUAAUGUGGGAUUUUAUUGAAGCAAAAAGGGAAACAAUUAAUGACUAAAAAGGAAGGAACAAACAAUAACUAGGCAAGAACUCAGCAUAGUAACGAAUGAAAUAUUAAACAAACCUGAACAAAGUGUCAACAGAAAUCUGAACAAAGACAUUGGCAAAACAGGAAAAACAAAGAAAACACACCUUCAAAACUAGAAGCAGGAACGAGAAACACAGGGAUUAGGCAAAAACAGACACCAAGCAAAGAACAAAGGUAAUGAGCAGGCUUAAAAAGUCAAUGAGGCACAGAAACAGAGGAACUGGGGUAAAAGCAGCCACUAGCGGCGAAAGGGGAAAAAAAACUUGACGGGACUUCCCCCCUUAGGAACGGCUCCUGACGCAUAGGCCUCCUUGAUGUAUUUAUCUAUGGCCACCCAUUCGGGGUUGGAAAGGGAGAAAAUACUUCCAUGAGGAGAAGUGCCGGGGAGCAGCUUAAUGGCACGAUCAUAAGAACAAUGAGGGGGGAGUGUGGUGACUCGUUUCUUGCUGAACGCUGCUCUAAGAGAAUGAUAUUGGAUAUGCACUCGGGACAGGUCAAGGGGUUCCAAAGACUUAGGCUCAGUGACACGGUCAAACAGGUCACAUGACAGGUAGGUGCCCAUUUAAUGAUGGAGCCUCUGGUCCAGUCAAUAACUGGAUUGUGAAGAGCCAGCCACUGGUGUCCCAAGAUGAGAGGAAGCUGAGGAGAUAAGAACAAGUGCAGCUGGAGGUUUUCUUGAUGUUGGAAGAUGGUGAGGUAGAGGAGAGGGGUCUUGUGAGUUGGGGCUCCCAGGACUCAAGGGCCUACCAUCAAGUGCAGUGAUGGCCUGAGGGAACAAGAGAGGUUCAGGGGAAAUCAGCAGACGUUUGGUUAGGGUGAUGUCUAUUAAGUUUCCCCCAGCGCCCGAGUCCACCAGAGCCUUGACAGCAUGGCGUUAGCCUGUGCAACUAAAUUCCACUGAGAGAAACAACCCUUUCACAAGAAAACAUUGUCUCAAAGCAGCUUUACAGAAAGUAAGAGUUACGGUGAAUAUACAGUUCAUUGAUAUGUAUUGGUUUCUGUUUCAUGUUUCUGAGUGAUUUACAUUAAAGAAGAGAUUUAACUGAUUUUGGAUUUUAUUGUUGAUUUCUAGAGACUGGGGCACGAACUAUUGGAGACCUUCGUGUUAUUGUUUUUUCACUGGAAACAGUGUUUCUUUCCACCUGGCUCACUUUGCAGAUCUAUAGUGCCUGGAUGAGCUUUAAAGACAGAACAAAACAACAUUUUGAAGAUGAUAAGGAAAUAGGACCUGAGGUUCUUCCAGAAAUGGAGGUUCUCUCAAACUCUCACGUUAAACCUAACCAUGACUGAUCUGAGGUGUUCAGUAAAAUAUCAACUCCAAAAAUAAGAAAUACCAGAAGUAUUCUUGCUUCUGUUUGAGAGUUUCAUCCAUGUAUACUAUGAAGCUGUGUUAUGUUGUAUAAACAUUAUAGCCUUAUAACUCUUACAAUAAAGAGGCUCCAUUUUAACCCUGUAGAUUAGCUGGUUAUGUUCACGUCCAUGUCCUUAUGCAUUUCACACACUCAUAAAACCAUUUUUCUCUUUUUUUACCCCAAACUGCACAUUUGCCAGGAGGUGGAAGGCAAAACCCUGGAAUAUACAAGUUAUAGGUCAAACACACUCAGCUCAAUUUAGAAUGAUCCCUUUGUCCAUUUAUAUUGUUUAAGCCUUAACUGAAUGUUCCAGCACCCUUAGUCUUUUCUCAGAAUGAAAAUAUUUAGUCAUUUUAUUAUGUGAACUUGCACUGUUUUUAUGAUAAAAUGAACUAGUAGAGAUGUGACAAACCAGCCUUGAAAAGCUUGGGGUGGAUGUUAGAUUAUUUUGGAAGAAGGUUGGCUGAGAAAAUGCUUGGAGUAGGCUGUGCCCAAUGAUAGAGGUCCCCAACCACCCGGAAUGUGGGCAGUACUGGCCGUGAAUCGUUUGUUACAGGGCUGCAAAAGAAAUAAUGUUUAAUGUCUUACGUAGUCUGUUUUAUUUUUAAAAAAUUACCACUUCCACAUGUCAAUUUUUCG